UUAACUUGCCAGAUCGGACGGGAUGGCGUGCCUUUCAACGCGGUAUGGUC
rnacentral:rRNA from 1 species